ensembl:snRNA U1 U1 spliceosomal RNA
CUACUUAGCUGGCAGGGGAGACACCAUGACCACGCAGGUGGUUUUCCCAGGGCGAGGCUCAUCCAUUGCACCCUGGCUGUGCUGACCCCUGCGGUUUCCCCAAAUGUGGAAAACUUGACUGCAUAAUUUGUGGUACUAGGGGACUCGUUCACGCUUUCCCCUG